UGAGUAGGCGGUCAUGCAAGUCAUAUGUGAAAUGUCAGGGCUUAACCUUGGCGCUGCAUAAGAAACUGUAUGACUAGAGUGCAGGAGAGGUAAGCGGAAUUCCUAGUGUAGCGGUGAAAUGCGUAGAUAUUAGGAAGAACACCGGUGGCGAAGGCGGCUUACUGGACUGUUACUGACGCUGAGUCACGAAAGGCGUGGGAGCAAACA
rnacentral:rRNA from 1 species